rnacentral:rRNA from 1 species
CACAUGCAAGUCGAGGGGCAUCAGGACCAUAGCUUGCUUUCUUUGCUGGCGACCGGCGCACGGGUGAGUAACACGUAUCCAACCUGCCCUUUACUCGGGGAUAGCCUUUCGAAAGAAAGAUUAAUACCCGAUAGCAUAAUGAUUCCGCAUGGUUUCAUUAUUAAAGGAUUCCGGUAAAGGAUGGGGAUGCGUUCCAUUAGGUUGUUGGUGGGGUAACGGCCCACCAAGCCUUCGAUGGAUAGGGGUUCUGAGAGGAAGGUCCCCCACAUUGGAACUGAGACACGGUCCAAACUCCUACGGGAGGCAGCAGUGAGGAAUAUUGGUCAAUGGGCGCUAGCCUGAACCAGCCAAGUAGCGUGAAGGAUGAAGGCUCUAUGGGUCGUAAACUUCUUUUAUAUAAGAAUAAAGUGCAGUAUGUAUACUGUUUUGUAUGUAUUAUAUGAAUAAGGAUCGGCUAACUCCGUGCCAGCAGCCGCGGUAAUACGGAGGAUCCGAGCGUUAUCCGGAUUUAUUGGGUUUAAAGGGAGCGUAGGUGGACUGGUAAGUCAGUUGUGAAAGUUUGCGGCUCAACCGUAAAAUUGCAGUUGAUACUGUCAGUCUUGAGUACAGUAGAGGUGGGCGGAAUUCGUGGUGUAGCGGUGAAAUGCUUAGAUAUCACGAAGAACUCCGAUUGCGAAGGCAGCUCACUGGACUGCAACUGACACUGAUGCUCGAAAGUGUGGGUAUCAAACAGGAUUAGAUACCCUGGUAGUCCACACAGUAAACGAUGAAUACUCGCUGUUUGCGAUAUACAGUAAGCGGCCAAGCGAAAGCAUUAAGUAUUCCACCUGGGGAGUACGCCGGCAACGGUGAAACUCAAAGGAAUUGACGGGGGCCCGCACAAGCGGAGGAACAUGUGGUUUAAUUCGAUGAUACGCGAGGAACCUUACCCGGGCUUAAAUUGCAGUGGAAUGAUGUGGAAACAUGUCAGUGAGCAAUCACCGCUGUGAAGGUGCUGCAUGGUUGUCGUCAGCUCGUGCCGUGAGGUGUCGGCUUAAGUGCCAUAACGAGCGCAACCCUUAUCUUUAGUUACUAACAGGUCAUGCUGAGGACUCUAGAGAGACUGCCGUCGUAAGAUGUGAGGAAGGUGGGGAUGACGUCAAAUCAGCACGGCCCUUACGUCCGGGGCUACACACGUGUUACAAUGGGGGGUACAGAAGGCAGCUAGCGGGUGACCGUAUGCUAAUCCCAAAAGCCUCUCUCAGUUCGGAUCGAAGUCUGCAACCCGACUUCGUGAAGCUGGAUUCGCUAGUAAUCGCGCAUCAGCCACGGCGCGGUGAAUACGUUCCCGGGCCUUGUACACACCGCCCGUCAAGCCAUGGGAGCCGGGGGUACCUGAAGUACGUAACCGCAAGGAUCGUCCUAGGGUAAAACUGGUGACUGGGGCUAAG